AGCUUUUGUGUGCGGUGUGCCAGCUGUGCCUAUGAUCUCUCCAAGUUUGAUCGCGUUUCAGUUCAGCAUUUUGUCUUGACCCAGUGAAUUUUCAUGAAUAAGAUUUAAAAUGCGCAUAACCUCAAAUACUCAGUGACGGUUUUCGAGGUAUCCUAAUUCACAAGAAUCAGUGAUGUCUCCGUAAAGUGGAAAUCAUUACAAUGGUUUGGUUUUGUGAAAUGGAAUUCCUGUCAAAAGAUUUCAAAUGCCCAUGCCCUGAAUAGUGUCUCAGUCCACAAGAUUUCUCAACAUAUGACCUCAUUAGGCCUGCAUUAUCCUGUUUCGG